CAUGUCUAAGUAUAAGCAAUUAUACCGCGAAACUGCGAAUGGCUCAUUAUAUAAGUUAUCGUUUAUUUGAUAGCACAUUUACCUACUUGGAUAACCGUGGUAAUUCUAGAGCUAAUACAUGCUAAAAAUCCCGACUUCGGAAGGGAUGUAUUUAUUAGAUUAAAAGCCAACGCCCUUCGGGGCUUCUUGGUGAUUCAUGAUAACUUGUCGAAUCGCAUGGCCUUGCGCCGGCGAUGGUUCAUUCAAAUUUCUUCCCUAUCAACUUUCGAUGCGAGGGUCUUGUCCUCGCAUGGUUGCAACGGGUAACGGAGGGUUAGGGCUCGACCCCGGAGAAGGAGCCUGAGAAACGGCUACUACAUCCAAGGAAGGCAGCAGGCGCGCAAAUUACCCAAUCCCGACACGGGGAGGUAGUGACAAUAAAUACUGAUACAGGGCUCUUUUGGGUCUUGUAAUCGGAAUGAGUACAAUUUAAAUCCCUUAACGAGGAACAAU
rnacentral:rRNA from 1 species